rnacentral:rRNA from 1 species
GACGAACCGUGCGAACGUUGUUCGGAAUCACUGGGUUUAAAGGGCGCGUAGGCGGGCUGUCAAGUCGGUGGUGAAAUCGUUCCGCUCAACGGGACAAUGGCCUUCGAUACUGGCGGUCUGGAGGGAGGUAGGGGCAUGCGGAACUUCCGGUGGAGCGGUGAAAUGCGUAGAGAUCGGAAAGAACACCAACGGCGAAAGCACUCUGCUGGGCCGACACUGACACUGAGAGACGAAAGCUAGGGGAGCGAAUGGG